rnacentral:rRNA from 1 species
GACGAACGCUGGCGGCGUGCUUAACACAUGCAAGUCGAACGGAAAGGCCCUGCUUUUGUGGGGUGCUCGAGUGGCGAACGGGUGAGUAACACGUGAGUAACCUGCCCUUGACUUUGGGAUAACUUCAUUAAACUCGGGCUAAUACCGGAUAUGAGCUCCUUCUGCAUGGUUUGUGUUGGAAAGUUGCGGCGGUUGGGGAUGGACGCGCGGCUUAUCAGCUUGUUGGUGGGGUAGUGGCUUACCAAGGCUUGGACGGGUAGCCGGACUGAGAGGGUGACCGGCCACAUUGGGACUGAGAUACGGCCAAGACUCAUACGGGAGGAAGCAGUGGGGAACAUUGCACAAUGGGCGGAAGCCUGAAGCAGCAACGCCGCGUGCGGGAUGACGGCCUUCGGGUUGGAAACCGCUUUCGCCUGUGACGAAGCGUGAGUGACGGUAAUGGGUAAAGAAGCACCGGCUAACUACGUG